AGCCGACCUGAGAGGGUGAUCGGCCACACUGGAACUGAGACACGGUCCAGACUCCUACGGGAGGCAGCAGUAGGGAAUCUUCCGCAAUGGGCGAAAGCCUGACGGAGCAACGCCGCGUGAGUGAUGAAGGUCUUCGGAUCGUAAAACUCUGUUGUUAGGGAAGAACAAAUUUGUUAGUAACUGAACAAGUCUUGACGGUACCUAACCAGAAAGCCACGGCUAACUACGUGCCAGCAGCCGCGGUAAUACGUAGGUGGCAAGCGUUAUCCGGAAUUAUUGGGCGUAAAGCGCGCGUAGGCGGUUUCUUAAGUCUGAUGUGAAAGCCCACGGCUCAACCGUGGAGGGUCAUUGGAAACUGGGAAACUUGAGUGCAGAAGAGGAGAGUGGAAUUCCAUGUGUAGCGGUGAAAUGCGCAGAGAUAUGGAGGAACACCAGUGGCGAAGGCGGCUCUCUGGUCUGUAACUGACGCUGAUGUGCGAAAGCGUGGGGAUCAAACAGGAUUAGAUACCCUGGUAGUCCACGCCGU
rnacentral:rRNA from 2 species